AAACCGCACAACUUUCACCGUACAACAGUUAGAAGAAUUGGAAAAAGCUUUCACUCAAACCCAUUAUCCCGAUGUGUUUACUAGAGAAGAUCUAGCUAUGAAGAUCAAUUUAACUGAAGCGAGAGUUCAGGUAUGGUUUCAAAAUCGAAGGGCUAAGUGGAGAAAAGCCGAAAGAUUGCGAAAAGAGAGAGAAGGUAAUCA